rnacentral:lncRNA from 1 species
GAAGGGUCGAUUGGGUCAUAAUCAUACCGAUCAUGUCCAAAAGUAAAUAUUAUAGAAUUUAUUAAAUAUUUUAUUAAAAUUUAAUCAUUAAUUUUGUUCAAUUUUAAGGUGGUGCUUGGAAACGUUCCAACGCGUCAUUUUUAUUCUCCCUACGCAACAAGGAUAACCUUGCUCCAUUUAUUGCCAACAUCAAGCAAGGUCUGGAGCAGAAUGCAAUCUACUGUAAUCAUGGUUAUGGACCAACCUUUGGUGGAGGUCAUGAUCUGUACAUUUGUAACAAUCCUCAAGUUAAUCAAUCAUACAGCAAUUUUGGAAGCACAUAUGAACUUCCCCCUGGUUAUGCCUAUAACAGUGAACAAGCAAAGAACCUUCUUACUGGUCAGUACCAAUUCUUAACGACAGAAAUCGAAGUCUUCAACUGACAGUUGCCUUGGUUUACGUACUUCAACGAAAAAUAACAUUACAUUGAUUACGACCGCUCUUAGCAAUCACUUUUGGACAGUGAUUUUGCGAUGUUAUAAAGUAUUAAGAGUUAAUAUGAAUAUUCUGAGUCAUGUACUGUAGGAAUUUUAAAAAUUAAAAUUGGUCGUUUGCCUCAACAGUAGCAGUUACUGGAGUCAACAAAUGAAAGGCCUCGAAGAAAACUUGUGAAAAACCGAUUGUUAUACAGCCGACAGUAAUCAAUUAUCUAAUCAGCAUAUAGCCUAGGUAAAUGUUCGAAAAUUGGAAGAACAUUUAAUUUUCGAUCGACCACUUUAAAUCGGGUUGCAUCUGACCAUUUUUUAUCACAAUGACAUAAGAACGGUGUCAUUUGGCAGCUAAAAGCCUAUCUUUAUUAGUGUGCGAAAAGUAAAUGUAUAAACUUAGUAUCUAUAACGCACGAUAACAUGCCAAAAUUGUUUUACCCCUUUUGAUACACCCUGCACUAUACAUGUUGAAGGGUUUUCGAGAUUUCCAUCUACAAAAAACCAUCCAACAUUUAAUAUCGACUGAGAUGCCUGAAAUCGCGAUCCUGAUAAAUCCCCAUAUACCUUACAUCGUUAUCACGUAAUAUGUACUGUAUACAUGAACUUGUGGUUAAAACUGGACAAGUGGAUUCUGUAGCUCAGUUGGUUAGAGUACUGCACCAGAAUCGCAGGGUCGCAGGUUUGAUUCCUGCCAGAGGAUCUAUAUAGUUGCAUUUUUUGCAGCUGCUCCUGGUUUGGUGUAUAAACGUAUAAAAUUUU